rnacentral:rRNA from 1 species
AGCAGCCGCGGUAAUUCCAGCUCCAAUAGCGUAUAUUAAAGUUGUUGCAGUUAAAAAGCUCGUAGUUGAAUUUCGGGGUCAGUAGGUUGGUCAUGCCACUGGUAUGUACUGGUCUCACUGAUUCCUCCUUCCUGAUGAACUGUAAUGCCAUUAAUUUGGUGUUGCAGGGAAUCUGGACUGUUACUUUGAAAAAUUAGAGUGUUUAAAGCAGGCUAACGCCUGAAUACAUUAGCGUGGAAUAAUGAAAUAGGACGUUCGAUCCUAUUUUGUUGGUUUCUAGGAUUGACGUAAUGAUUAAUAGGGAUAGUUGGGGGCGAUUAGUAUUCAAUUGUCAGAGGUGAAAUUCUUGGAUUUAUUGAAGACUAACUACUGCGAAAGCAUUUGCCAAGGAUGUUUUCUAUUAA